UACGUAGGGUGCAAGCGUUGUCCGGAAUUAUUGGGCGAAAGAGCUCGUAGGCGGUCUGUCGCGUCGAUCGUGAAAACUUGGGGCUUAACCCUGAGCUUGCGGUCGAUACGGGCAUGACUGGAGUUCGGCAGGGGAGACUGGAAUUCCUGGUGUAGCGGUGAAAUGCGCAGAUAUCAGGAGGAACACCGGUGGCGAAGGCGGGUCUCUGGGCCGAUACUGACGCUGAGGAGCGAAAGCGUGGGGAGCGAACAGG
rnacentral:rRNA from 1 species